AUACGUAGGGAGCGAGCGUUGUCCGGAAUUACUGGGCGUAAAGGGCGCGUAGGCGGCGCUUCAAGUCGUCUGUCAAAUGGAAGGGCUUAACCCUUUUUCGCAGACGAAACUGGAGAGCUUGAGAAGCAGAGAGGCAAACAGAAUUCCUGGAGUAGCGGUGAAAUGCGUAGAUAUCAGGAAGAAUACCAGUGGCGAAGGCGGUUUGCUGGCUGCAUACUGACGCUGAAGCGCGAAAGCCAGGGGAGCAAACGGGAUUAGAUACCCCGGUAGUCCUGGCAGUAAACGAUGUAUGCUGGGUGUGAGACUAGCGAUAGUUUCGUGCCGAAGUUAACGCGAUAAGCAUACCGCCUGGGGAGUACGGUCGCAAGAUUGAAACUCAAAGGAAUUGACGGGG
rnacentral:rRNA from 1 species